rnacentral:rRNA from 1 species
GACGAACGCUGGCGGCGUGCCUAAUACAUGCAAGUAGAACGCUGAAGGAGGAGCUUGCUCUUCUGGAUGAGUUGCGAACGGGUGAGUAACGCGUAGGUAACCUGCCUGGUAGUGGGGGAUAACUAUUGGAAACGAUAGCUAAUACCGCAUAAUAACAGUUGUUGCAUGACAACUGUUUGAAAGGUGCAAUUGCAUCACUACCAGAUGGACCUGCGUUGUAUUAGCUAGUUGGUGGGGUAACGGCUCACCAAGGCGACGAUACAUAGCCGACCUGAGAGGGUGAUCGGCCACACUGGGACUGAGACACGGCCCAGACUCCUACGGGAGGCAGCAGUAGGGAAUCUUCGGCAAUGGACGAAAGUCUGACCGAGCAACGCCGCGUGAGUGAAGAAGGUUUUCGGAUCGUAAAGCUCUGUUGUAAGAGAAGAACGAGUGUGAGAGUGGAAAGUUCACACUGUGACGGUAUCGUACCAGAAAGGGACGGCUAACUACGU